AUUGAACGCUGGCGGCAUGCCUUACACAUGCAAGUCGAACGGCAGCACGGGAGCAAUCCUGGUGGCGAGUGGCGAACGGGUGAGUAAUAUAUCGGAACGUGCCCAGUCGUGGGGGAUAACGCAGCGAAAGCUGUGCUAAUACCGCAUACGAUCUAUGGAUGAAAGCGGGGGAUCGCAAGACCUCGCGCGAUUGGAGCGGCCGAUAUCAGAUUAGCUAGUUGGUGGGGUAAAAGCCUACCAAGGCGACGAUCUGUAGCUGGUCUGAGAGGACGACCAGCCACNCUGGAACUGAGACACGGUCCAGACUCCUACGGGAGGCAGCAGUGGGGAAUUUUGGACAAUGGGCGCAAGCCUGAUCCAGCAAUGCCGCGUGCAGGAUGAAGGCCUUCGGGUUGUAAACUGCUUUUGUACGGAACGAAACGGUUCUCUCUAAUACAGGGGGCNUAAUGACGGUACCGUAAGAAUAAGCACCGGCUAACUACGUGC
rnacentral:rRNA from 1 species